rnacentral:rRNA from 1 species
AUUGAACGCUGGCGGCAGGCCUAACACAUGCAAGUCGAACGAGUGGCGGACGGGUGAGUAAUGUCUGGGAAACUGCCUGAUGGAGGGGGAUAACUACUGGAAACGGUAGCUAAUACCGCAUACCAUCGGAUGUGCCCAGAUUGGAUUAGAUAGUAGGUGGGGUAACUGCUAACCUAGGCGACGAUCCCUAGCUGGUCUGAGAGGAUGACACGCCACACGGGAACUGAGACACGGUCCAGACUCCGACGGGAGGCAGAAGUGGGGAAUAUUGCACAAUGGGCGCAAGCCUGAUGCAGCCAUGCCGCUUGUAUGAAGAAGGCCUGCGGGUUGUAAAGUACUUUCAGCUGGGAGGCGUUACCCGCAGAAGAAGCACCGGCUAACUCCGUGCCAGCAGCCGCGGUAAUAC